rnacentral:rRNA from 1 species
GAUGAACGCUGGCGGCGUGCCUAAUACAUGCAAGUCGAACGCGCAGCGAGAGGUGCUUGCACCUUUCAAGCGAGUGGCGAACGGGUGAGUAACACGUGGAUAACCUGCCUCAAGGCUGGGGAUAACAUUUGGAAACAGAUGCUAAUACCGAAUAAAACUUAGUAUCGCAUGAUACAAAGUUAAAAGGCGCUACGGCGUCACCUAGAGAUGGAUCCGCGGUGCAUUAGUUAGUUGGUGGGGUAAAGGCUUACCAAGACAAUGAUGCAUAGCCGAGUUGAGAGACUGAUCGGCCACAUUGGGACUGAGACACGGCCCAAACUCCUACGGGAGGCUGCAGUAGGGAAUCUUCCACAAUGGGCGCAAGCCUGAUGGAGCAACGCCGCGUGUGUGAUGAAGGCUUUCGGGUCGUAAAGCACUGUUGUAUGGGAAGAAAUGCUAAAAUAGGGAAUGAUUUUAGUUUGACGGUACCAUACCAGAAAGGGACGGCUAAAUACGUGCCAGCAGCCGCGGUAAUAC